GACGCGGAGACAGGUGCUGCAUGGCUGUCGUCAGCUCGUGUCGUGAGAUGUUGUGUUAAGUCCCGCAACGAGCGCAACCCUCGUCCUUAGUUGCCAUCAUUAAGUUGGGCACUCUAAGGAAACUGCCGGUGAUAAGCCGGAGGAAGGUGGGGAUGACGUCAAGUCCUCAUGGCCCUUACACGCUGGGCUACACACGUGCUACAAUGGCGGUGACAGUGGGCAGCAACCCUGCGAGGGGUAGCUAAUCUCCAAAAACCGUCUCAGUUCGGAUUGUUCUCUGCAACUCGAGAGCAUGAAGGCGGAAUCGCUAGUAAUCGCGGAUCAGCAUGCCGCGGUGAAUACGUUCCCAGGCCUUGUACACACCGCCCGUCACACCAUGGGAGUUGGUUUCACCCGAAGGCAGUGCUCUAACCCGCAAGGGGGGAAGCUGACCACGGUGGGAUCAGCGACUGGGGUGAAG
rnacentral:rRNA from 1 species